GCCAGAGAGGGUGCUGGGAGGUUUUCUCCUUUUGAUGAAGCUAGUGGGUGCCAUUUUGGAGUUGGGCAAGAAAAUGACUGCAAUAGUGGGAACCGGGGCCUGCCAUUUUUAGUUAGGCUGCUUUGCUCCUUCAGCUCUGACCCCAUUUCCUCAGGAUCUUGUUCCCUGAGGAGCCAAGCCUGACAUUUCAGACAGAGGCUGAGUAAAGGAGAAAUGGGGUCUCGCUCUGUCACCCAGACUGGAGUACAGUGAUGUGAUCAUAGCUCACUGCAGCCUCAAACUCCUGGACUCAAGCCAUCCUCCUGCCUCGGUCUCCUGAGUAGCUGUGCGCCAUAGGUGUGGAACCUGUGAGCUCAGGCAAUCCAUCCACCUCGGCCUCCCAAGUAGCUGUGCACUAUAGGUGUGUGCCACCAUGCCUGGCUAAUUUAAAAAGUUUUUAUUUUAUUUUUUAAAAACAAGGUCUUCCUGUUUAGCCCAGCCUGGUCACUGGUCUCCAACUCCCCUGGCCUCAAGCGAUUGUCUCGCCUUAGCCUCCUAAAUUGGUGGGAUUAUAGGUGUGAGGCAGGUGUCAUAUUUUGGAGGGUAAAAAUGGUGAUGUGGAAUUCCCAUUCUUGGUGGUUAUUGUGACAUAAAUGAAUGCACAGGGUGGAAUUUACGCCUUGUGUAAGGAUGUAAAUCUCUGGAUGUAGGGCCAGAGAGUGCCUUCAGAACUGGAAAGUUCCUCUUGGUUGUGACAACCCCAGCCUUCUCCUAAUUCAGUAGCCUUCAGGAUAAGGCUUCCUUCCUGACCCUCUGUUCUGCCAAAAUUCCCCACAGCCUUUUGUCCUUGGUAGUGUCUCUAACUCCUGCAACUUUUAAGACCUGAAGCCUAUAACGGACUGCUUGGGAAAUGAUCAUACCUCUGACUAAAUCCUGUAGAAAAAAAUAACGUCGGGCGGCGCCUGUGGCUCAGUGAGCAGGGCGCUGGCCCCAUAUGCCAAGGGUGGCGGGUUCAAACCCAGCCCCGGCAAAACUGCAACAAAAAAAUAGCCGGGCGUUGUGGCGGGCGCCUGUAGUCCCAGCUACUAGGGAGGCUGAGGCAGGAGAAUCGCCUAAGCCCAGGAGUUGGAGGUUGCUGUGAGCUGUGUGAUGCCACGGCACUCUACCGAGGGCAAUAAAGUGAAACGCUGUCUCUACAAAAAAAAAAAGAAAAAAUAACGUCAAUUCCUUGAGUCCUCAUUUAUUUGUGACAGAUGUGGGCAUCCUAAAGGCAUGCUGGGAUCAAAGGUCUAAGCAUUUACUGUUGGAACCCCAUAAGGCAAAUAAGCCUCCUCUAGGUGAAAAACUAUUAACAUACUGGGUAUAUGUAAUCCUCCACUUUUUAUGUCUUUGGGUGCCUUCCUCCAUCCCAGAGUCCUUGAAAGCAGGAAACAGGUCGUAGUUCUCAAUCAGAAUAGCAUCAAGCCUAGGGCUACUUCCACAUACAUGCUUGAAGGCCUGCCAGCGUUUGAACUUCAAGGUAGAAACCUUUUCUCUGAACGUUAUUGUCAUUCCUUAGUGCCUAGCUCAAUGUCUGGCACAUAAUCAUUUCAAUACAUUUGGAUUGGGAGAAUUAAUUAAUGGUAAUGAUGUUGAUAAGGAUGACAGUGGGGACAGUGGCAAUUCUCAUAAGCUAGAAGGUGCUUUCUGAUGCAAGCCAUCUCCCUUAGCAGCACACAGCCUCUGCAAAGCCAUGGCUUUCUUCAUUGGAGAAAACAGGGGAUGAUCUUCAGAUGAAGUCCUUAUCCUCCCAUCAUGCCCAUGCCAGGAGAAGCUAUCAGUGAUAGAGAAGGGAAUAAGAGACAGCUGGUCGAGCAUGAUACCUAGUAAGGAGAGGACCCAGUUCUCCUGCCUUCUCACUCCUCCAGCUAGGAUCAACUUUAAUGUCUUUUGCCAGCAACUUAUCAGGAAAGACCACGACUUUCUGGACUCCGAAGAUCCAUUUUUUCAGCUGUGCUGCCUCCACUGGCCUUUUUUCUACUGUCCAGGUCCUCAUUUUCUGGUACCUUGGCUUUGGAAUAAAGUUUAAACCUCAUGUUUUUUGGGACUAUGCACAUUACUUACCCCUCUCUGAGGGAAGAAAGCAUCUGUACAAUAUUCCCUUUUAAUUUUCAAACAAGUUUGUGAGGUUGAUGGAACAGGAUGAUUCUGACACCGAGAGGAAGCCACUUGCUCAAAGUGUUUCAAAAUUGUUCAUCCCAGGGCUUUACCUCUAACACACAUUACAUCACUCAACCAAGAAAAGGCACUGAUCUCCUAAGACUAAGAAUUUACAUGUUGAGGAGUCCUAAAAUAGUAUAAAUUUUCAAGCAAGAUGAUAUUUCAAAAGGCCAACUAGCUUAUGCUUUUGCUGUUGAGUGGUGGUAAUGGUCUACAUAGAAUUUGAAUGUUGGAUGAGAAAGUACUUGAAUCUGGAGUCAGAAAACCUGGAAUGUAAGUCCUGGGUCUGCUAUUUACUAACUGGAUGCUCUUGGGCAAGUGGUCUGGCCUCUGUGACUUAACUUCCUGAAAAAUGAGGGCAAUAAUAUCUGUAUUUUCUACCUUACAUGUGUAUUAUGAGAAUUAAAUGAAAUGAUAUACAUGAAAGCUGUAAAGCACUAGACAAAUGUUAAUUUUAAUAUUUUGGUCAGAUUUGCA